UCCAGACUCCUACGGGAGGCAGCAGUGGGGAAUAUUGCACAAUGGGGGAAACCCUGAUGCAGCGACGCCGCGUGAGUGAAGAAGCGUUUCGGCGCGUAAAGCUCUGUCAGCGGGGAAGAAACACGGUUCGCGAGAGCCGCGGACGGUACCCGACCAAGAAGCCCCGGCUAACUACGUGCCAGCAGCCGCGGUAAUACGUAGGGGGCAAGCGUUAUCCGGAUUCACUGGGUGUAAAGGGAGCGUAGACGGCGAGACAAGUCUGGAGUGAAAGGCCGGGGCCCAACCCCGGGACUGCUCUGGAAACUGCCUGGCUGGAGUACAGGAGAGGUAAGUGGAAUUCCUAGUGUAGCGGUGAAAUGCGUAGAUAUUAGGAGGAACACCAGUGGCGAAGGCGGCUUACUGGACUGUAACUGACGUUGAGGCUCGAAAGCGUGGGGAGCAAACAGGAUUAGAUACCCCGGUA
rnacentral:rRNA from 1 species